UUUGGUUUUGUUUUUUUUUUUUGUUCCCACAUAAAAUACUCUGAAAAAGCAAAAUAGUCAUUGCGAAGGAGUUAGGCAAUCUUCUACCCCACAACAACAAGUAAGGCCACAGAGCAGAACUCAAACUCCAAUGCAGAACUGAUGGUUUUCUAAAAAACCAUUAGAUCAUACGUUCUCAGUAGUAUAACCCUGGUGCAGGAGGUAGACAUCAUAAAAGUUGUUGGACUACUUGAUUUUACUACAAGUACUUCUUUGGUCCCUUGUUUUGGCCAUAAAGCUGCAGCAGUAGGAAAAAUGAAGUGGGAUGUGUGGUUAAUGUUUAAUGCAGGGAGAUGAAAGAAAAGAGCUAUGUUUUCCCCUUCCGUGCAGCUGCAGCGAGCAAGCAGCAGAACAGCAGGAGUAAAAAGAAAAUGACCACACUGACUGCUGAACAGACACCACACUGUACAUUUUACAAAUUCAACAGAACUGCCCACCUCCAAAACUGCCAAGUGAAAUACAGAGUGGCAGCUCUCCUUCUGUGGCCACCAUGCCCAGUAUUGCUCCUGAGAUACCUGCAAGGGCUGUGCUGCUGCUGCCACCUCUGCUCACAGAGCCAAGGAGCAUUUCUCAGCCACCUGCUGUGACAAGCAGGGGCUCUCCCACAGCCUGCCUUCAGCACAGCAAGCCAAGGAACAGAGAUCUGGGACCGGGGAAUUUUGGAAAUGUGAACUUCUUCACCUGUGUCUGUGUAACAAGUACAGACUUAUUUUGCUUGCCUACUAUCUAGCACUUAAUGCAAGCCCCACUGGAUGGUGGAAGUCACAGAGCUCUAACACGUAUAGUGGCUAAAAACACAAUCAGAGAGAAAAAUUCAACCUCUCCAAAGCAGGCCAGGGCCUGGGGAUUAAUGUGCUUUCUGAACUGUGGGACAACCAUGUUCCAGAUCGUGCUCUAUUUUGGAACAGAAAUAGAUUUCAAUGUCUUAUAUUGUACUGGCUUAGAAGCAGUCUCCAUUUCUUUCAAAAAGGCCAUGCUACCCAUGAGAAAUUCUUCUUUGUAACAGUUUUCAUAAAACAAGCAUAUUUUCCCAAACAGUUUCUCUUUUUACUAUUCAUGUGAUCAUUUUUACAGCACCAGCUCUGGCUACUAACAAAAGUAGUGACUAUAUAGUAUCAAUCCAGUUUUUUCACUUAGUUCAAACAUGUAAAUGACAGAGAAACAAAAAAAUCAAUUUAAUUUGAGAAGAGUUCCCCUUCCUAUGAACAUUGCUAUUAGGUAAUGCUGCUGUUAGACAUACAAACAGGAAUUUGAGAAAAUGGAUGUCUGGGUGAUUUUUGAUUUUGCCUUUGAAGUGCUUGGGUUUUUCUUCAGAAGCUCAGCACAGCAAAACAAACAAGUUUGCCACCAAUUGUCCUCUUCCUUAUAACACCCUGGUCUCUCUUUUCCUUUCAGAGUUGCAGUUCAUGCAACACAGAGAGGGGACCCAGAGCUCCAUCCUGUAGCCCCAGUUGCAGAAAUGUAUUUGAAGGUCUCCUGCUGCUGUACCUUUGCCCCAGUAACUAAAGGAGGCAGCAGCAUCACGCUCUGGCUCAAUCGCUGGGUGCAAAGCGACAAACGUUCUGCGGGGUUAGAAUGAGAUUAGCAAAAUCCUACGGAACAAUGAUUCAAAGGUGCUGUAACAAAUCAAUUUCCUGCGUGCAAAAAACACAAUUACUACACCAAUUAUCUUGCUCUCACCCCUUUCCUCUCUCUGCAGUGAGCCAGAGAAACCUCAUCCUCUGGGCUACCAGCACAGAGUCCCUCCUCCUAGGUGAUGCUGCAAAUGGUAGGAGCAGUAGUUCUCUACCUCCCUCUAUGAGCUGUGCCACUAGAGGGCACACAGAUUGCCAAAAUAACACAGGAAACAAAAGGUCCAUUGGUCUUCGAAUCUCUAUUCCAAACUCUCCAUCUCUCUGAGCAAACAUGCUACCAUUCCAGAGCAAUUCAUAUCUGCCAACGCAGAUUAUCACCUUUGGUGUUUCCAAUCUUCUCCACUUCAUCAUCUUUUAGUUAAUUUCUCACAUCUCCCAGUUUUCCCAUUGUGGCACAAAUGCAGAACUUCUACCUAAUGCAAAGAUGGAGGGUAAGAGGGGAUUUUUUUAUUCUUUUCAGGGCCUACGGAUUUUUCAAAGAGGAGAUUCCAACAUCAAAAGUCAAUGUUCAGCACAGACAACCCAAGUCUAUAAUGUUUCUUGUCUCUCUUUCAGAGCCAGAGCCCAACUGCACUCCCACUGCACGUCACCUGAGCUGAUGAGCUCGCCCACCCUGCUGAGGUGCAUGUGCUAAGGACAUCUUUACCAGCGGCCACCUUGAACAUAACAAGGCUAGUCAAAAAGUCCACACUGAGUAGCAUCAAUUUCCACCCAGAGUCAGCUAUCUUCCACAUUUUGUUCCCUGGCACUGCUGAGGCCCUCUAACAGGCCUUACACUGACUGGGAGAGAUCCAGCAACACUGAACAUUCUGGACUUCAUGAAAUGCAAAAGGUGCUCCUUGCUGCCUGCCCAGGAAACAGAUUGCAAUUUGCAUAGUGCUGUACCUGAGCUAAUAAACUAUGAUGAACUCUCUCUCUGGGUCUGCAUCCAUGGCACAAAUAAUCUUCAGUCUGGAUAAUUCCCAUCAUGUAUCCUGGCUCUUUCACUCAAGCCACAAUACCUUUUACCUCUGGAAGUCCAUGGUACCAGCCAGCAUCCACUACAAAACUUGCUCUCAAUUCUGCCUUCUCCCAUUCCCAAUAAACCAAGCAGCCAACACCACCAAACUCACUUUCACUCUUCAGUUCUUGCUGUAGGUGAGAUAAGAACAAACCAGCUGUGUGAUGCCCAUGUUCUGCUGAUCUUGGGGAGCUUGGAGCUUGGCAGUCUCCUGGCAUCCUGUUCUACUGCUGCCUCCCUCACUGGCCCAGCUCCCUCCAGCUCACAGCCCUGGGAGGGCUCAGCUCUUUUGACGUGCCAGGAAUGCUACCAGCUCAAACACAUCAACUUCUGAGCCUGAAGGUGUUGGAAUUUAGGUUUGGUUUAGGGGUUUUGUGUGGUGGUAAAGUUUGGGGGUUUUUUUAACUCAUGCUUUUAAAGAAAACUUAGUAGUUGUUUGUUGUUUGGUUUUAAGGCAGUUUAUUGUAAGCUAUCUAAAAGACUUUUUUUGGUUGCUGCAAUUUGGUUAGUAGCUUCGGCAGAGGCACACACACUUUUGACACUCUUUGACUUUUUUUUGGUUUUGUUUUUGGGUUGUUGUUAUUUUUUACACGGUAUAUUAUGUGAUAAAUGUUGAUAGUUGUUUUAAUAUUUAUUACUUAUAUUAAACGGUGUUUUUUUACUCUAAACUAAUUUAUGAGUGCUAACAUCAUUAAGAAUAUGGCGGUAAGGAAGAAGAAAGAGGAGGAACAGGAUUGGUUUACAUUCUUUUAUUUUAAAUUCUUUGACUUUUAUGUAUAAAGUAAAAGUUUUUUAUAUAGGUGUUAAAAUUUUUUUGUACAAUAUUAAAUUUUUUUUCUCUCUUCUUUGUAACUACUUCUACUAUAAUAUCUAAACUUUUGUGACUUCUUGUUCUACCUGCAAAGUUGGUAAAUCAUUCCAUGGCUCAAACCGCAAAUCACAUCUGUUUCCAGCUGCCUGCCAGGGUCUCAAAUGCUUCUGACCAGGGUCUGGAAACUCCAAAAAUGUCUGAGGGACAUUUUGAGUUCCAACAUGAAGGGAGCAGUCCAGUGUUCAGUU
rnacentral:lncRNA from 1 species